rnacentral:rRNA from 1 species
CCAGACUCCUACGGGAGGCAGCAGUGGGGAAUAUUGCACAAUGGGCGAAAGCCUGAUGCAGCAACGCCGCGUGAAGGAAGAAGGGUUUCGGCUCGUAAACUUCUAUCAACAGGGACGAAAGAAAUGACGGUACCUGAAUAAGAAGCCCCGGCUAACUCCGUGCCAGCAGCCGCGGUAAUACGGAGGAUGCGAGCGUUAUCCGGUUUUAUUGGGUUUAAAGGGUGCGUAGGCGGACUGUUAAGUCAGCGGUAAAAGCCGGGGGCCCACCCCCGGCGAGCCGUUGAAACUGGCUGUCUUGAGAUGUCGAGAGGUAUGCGGAAUGCGCAGUGUAGCGGUGAAAUGCUUAGAUAUUGCGCAGAACUCCGAUUGCGAAGGCAGCAUACCGGCGGCGAUCUGACGCUGAGGCACGAAAGCGUGGGUAUCGAACAGGAUUAGAUACCCCAGUA